GAUGAACGCUGGCGGCGUGCCUAAUACAUGCAGGUCGAGCGAACAGACGAGGAGCUUGCUCCUCUGACGUUAGCGGCGGACGGGUGAGUAACACGUGGAUAACCUACCUAUAAGACUGGGAUAACUUCGGGAAACCGGAGCUAAUACCGGAUAACAUGUUGAACCGCAUGGUUCAACAGUGAAAGACGGUUUUGCUGUCACUUAUAGAUGGAUCCGCGUCGCAUUAGCUAGUUGGUAAGGUAACGGCUUACCAAGGCAACGAUGCGUAGCCGACCUGAGAGGGUGAUCGGCCACACUGGAACUGAGACACGGUCCAGACUCCUACGGGAGGCAGCAGUAGGGAAUCUUCCGCAAUGGGCGAAAGCCUGACGGAGCAACGCCGCGUGAGUGAAGAAGGUCUUCGGAUCGUAAAACUCUGUUAUUAGGGAAGAACAAAUGUGUAAGUAACUAUGCACGUCUUGACGGUACCUAAUCAGAAAGCCACGGCUAACUACGUG
rnacentral:rRNA from 1 species